rnacentral:rRNA from 1 species
UACGGAGGGUGCAAGCGUUGUCCGGAUUUAUUGGGUUUAAAGGGUGCGUAGGCGGCUAAUUAAGUCAGCGGUGAAAUUCCACAGCUUAACUGUGGAACUGCCAUUGAUACUGGUUGGCUUGAGUACAGAUGAGGUAGGCGGAAUUGACAGUGUAGCGGUGAAAUGCUUAGAUAUUGUCAAGAACACCUAUUGCGAAGGCGGUCUGCUGGGCAGUUUCUGACACUGAGGCGCGACAGCGUGGGGAGCAAACAGG